rnacentral:rRNA from 1 species
AUUGAACGCUGUCGGCAUGCCUUACACAUGCAAGUCGAACGGUAACAGGUCUUCGGAUGCUGACGAGUGGCGAACGGGUGAGUAAUACAUCGGAACGUGCCCGAUCGUGGGGGAUAACGAAGCGAAAGCUUUGCUAAUACCGCAUACGAUCUACGGAUGAAAGCAGGGGACCGCAAGGCCUUGCGCGAACGGAGCGGCCGAUGGCAGAUUAGGUAGUUGGUGGGAUAAAAGCUUACCAAGCCGACGAUCUGUAGCUGGUCUGAGAGGACGACCAGCCACACUGGGACUGAGACACGGCCCAGACUCCUACGGGAGGCAGCAGUGGGGAAUUUUGGACAAUGGGCGAAAGCCUGAUCCAGUCAUGCCGCGUGCAGGAUGAAGGCCUUCGGGUUGUAAACUGCUUUUGUACGGAACGAAAAGACUCUGGUUAAUACCUGGGGUCCAUGACGGUACCGUAAGAAUAAGCACCGGCUAACUACGUG